AUGAGUUUAUUUGACAAAUUUCGAGUUUCAACUUAGUGGUAAUUGGUAAAUAAUAGUAAGUCUUAUACAGGAGCUUGAAAUUUGUCAAAUAAGCUCAUUUGAACACUUGAAAUGUCAGUCACAUAUAAGACAAAGAAAAGAGAUGAAAUCAAGUUUUUAUGUUUACUCGUCCAAAUUUUUGUCCAAAUCUAAUUGGAUAUUAAUGAAAAAGACCAAAACUGUUAGCCAAGGACAAAAAAUAAACACCACAAUAACUGAGGGACUUAAUCUAUAUCAAGGGUAUAACUUACAGACCAAAUAUGCCAUUUUUGCAAAUAAAUUAUCACAAUAUUGAAGACUAGAUGAACCUGAAAUGAAAUGGCUAGCCUCAGAGAAGUCACGGUGGAAGCAUGUGUCACAGUAUACAGUGCCAACAAGUACUGCUGCAGUUUGAAGCACACAAUAGCCUAAGAUGGAUCGCCCUUCCUCUUAUAAGGUGAGCUACUAUGUGUAUUUAUUUCAGUCAUGCAGAGACCAGUGAAUUUACAGACCAGCAGACAUUAAUUUCAUCACUACUAACAUAACAAAAAGAAGGUUGGGGGAGACAGAAAGGUAAUAAAGUAGGAAUGUGUUGUGGGUUGUGACUUCUCUGGAUGUUUCUUUUCUUUAUUCUUUUUUAGCAUAUGACAUCUGAUUUUCUCGCCAUUAUGAGGCUAAUUCAGAUUUGGUUAAGGUUAUGUUUGCCAAGUUUGUCUCACAUUAAAAAUGAACAUGUAGUACAUUAAAAAUGAAUGUACAUGUCAGUUGUUCAUCUUGCAAUGUGUAUUAUAGUCUACAGUAUGAUGAUUAAGAACUCUUUAACAUGUCCAA